UGGGGGAUAUUGCACAAUGGAGGAAACUCUGAUGCAGCAACGCCGCGUGAGGGAAGACGGUUUUCGGAUUGUAAACCUCUGUCUUUGGUGAAGAUAAUGACGGUAGCCAAAGAGGAAGCUCCGGCUAACUACGUGCCAGCAGCCGCGGUAAUACGUAGGGAGCAAGCGUUGUCCGGAUUUACUGGGUGUAAAGGGUGCGUAGGCGGCUUAUCAAGUCAGGCGUGAAAUAUAUGGGCUUAACCCAUAGACUGCGUUUGAAACUGAUGAGCUUGAGUGAAGUAGAGGUAGGCGGAAUUCCCGGUGUAGCGGUGAAAUGCGUAGAGAUCGGGAGGAACACCAGUGGCGAAGGCGGCCUACUGGGCUUUAACUGACGCUGAGGCACGAAAGCAUGGGUAGCAAACAGG
rnacentral:rRNA from 2 species